rnacentral:hammerhead_ribozyme from 1 species
AUCUAGCUGAUGAGUCCCAUAUGGGACGAAACGCGUGUUCUGGAU